UGCAAAAGUGGAAAUGUUUUAUUGAAAAGCAAAAUAAAAUAAUACUGACACUUCACAGACCAAAUAACAAAAAGGCAAAAACAUACAGAAAAAAGAAGGGAAAAUUCUGGAACAGCUGUACAACAUCAAAUGGCAUGGGGAAGGUAUUUUUUGCAAUUUAUGCCACACUGCUUCCCCAUGAAAUAACAAUGAGGAACUUUGUAUGAGCUGCAUAUUGAUAAAUGUUAGAUUAGAGCACAGAAACUCGAAUGAAUCAACUGAAAUAAACAUGCUGUGACAGAAUCCCACAAUGGAAACCACACAUGGCAUACAAUGAAAUGGCAGGCAUAUAUGAGGUGCUCUGCAGAUCUGCACUACAGCUAGGACUGGGCUAUACCCCUGGCCUGACAGCUCCCAGCAAAGCCAGAGGUAAAGCUUCCAAGGGAGUGGAGCCUGCUCCAGCAGUAUUCCUUCCACGCUGCUCCCUCUGGACCUCUUAGGCUCCCUUAAGACCAUCACACCUUUUGCCUUGUGAGUGCUCUGCUGAUGUAUCUCAGUAAUUCUGUUCUGGGGUUGCAAUGGCACCAAGGAUAUAGCAAUGUAUGCUGGAGAAAAUCCUGGUCUAUCAUUUAUUUGGAAAACCCUUUGAAUAAAAUCAGCAAAACAAAUGAGGUGGAUUUAACCUCAUUUAAAAUUAUUUCAUUUAUUUAUUUUAUUUAAAAUAAUCAGACUUACUAAAACAUCAGCAGUUCUCUUGGUACCUCAGCCAAAAAUGAGAUGUGAUGUGGUGAGGUCUGGGAUGUUAAUUGAAUUUACGUGUAUUUUUGAGUUAUUUUUUUAAAAAUCAAACUGGAAUCUAACACAGUUCUGCUUUGGCCUCAGGGCCUUCCCUCUGCCUGCAGAUUGGGCAGCUGAUCACAGAGAUGCUGAAAACACAAACAAAAAGGUGAAGCUGGGCAAAAUGACAUGGUUGCAAGGGAUUCACAAAACUGAGCAUGGUUUUGGGUGUUAUCUAAUACAAAUGAAGCUUUCUAUAGUGUGGGAGGCAUCUCUUUCCCUCCACAGAUACAGUAGAAAAGCUUGUAACAGCAAAGCUUUUAAGCACCUCUGAGUAUCUUCAGUGAAGCUAACUGCAGUUUUACCUACUUAAAGCGAAGCUUACUUGGGGUGGGGAGGAUGAAGAGGGUGAGAAAGAAGCUCUAUGUGUUCCAUAUUUGUACAGUACCUGCCCAAUGCCAGCUCCCCACUGCCCUGGAAUAACAUUAUUAAUCAUAGGAUGCUAAGAGCAAGAGGCUUCACUGAUGCCAGGAUCCAGCCCCACACCUUUAAGACUGUGCUGUUUACUGGGAUGCCCUCAAACCUUCCUGCUCAGCUGGGUGAAUAAUCUGUAGACUGCAAAUCAUAGUGCUUUUUAAUGCCGUUAUGAAUGGAUAUGCUUCACCUGAUGGACAUCAACCGAGUGAAAGCGUGAGUCAAAGGUAACUCAGGAGCAAGCAUUAUCAAUAAAAAAUAAGCAUGCACUUAGUGUGCAUAAUACUGAAUUCCACAGUUAAGUGGGCAGGACCUUGCACUGGGAGCUGUAGGAGUAUGGAGACACCCCCAGAGCUUGUAGUUUUAUAUAAAAAUAUUGUCAACAACAAUACCAGUCAAUGCCAGGGUCCCGCUGUGCUUUGGUCUGUCCUACAAGGGAAGGGACACUUCCCUCCUUGGUCUUGCAGGGGUUAACUCACCAGAUCUUCUCCUGUGCCUGCUGCCUCCCACUGAAGCAAGGACUGGUACUCAGUGGUUUUUAUAUUUACAUUUUGUGCAAAGGUUGAUGAACCUGAGAUACAUCCCCUAUUCUGCAACUCUGGGCUUGAAAUAAGACAGGUGGAGAUUUGCUUUGUAAGGCUAAGUAUAGAUUAAACCUGAGCCCUGCAUUAUGAAUGGUGACGUUUUACACACACAGGCAGAGAGCACUGAAUCUUCAUAGCAUCAUAAAAUAGGUUGGGUUGGAAGAGACCUUCAAAGGUCAUCUAGUCCUACCACCCUACAAUGAGCAGGGAUAACUAGACCACUGGAUUGCUCAGAGUACCAUCCAACCUGAUCUUGAAUGUUUCCUGGGAUGGGGCAUCUACUACCUCUCUGGGCAACCCAUGCCAGUGUUUUACCACCCUCACUGUAAAAUUUUCUUCCUUAAAUCUUGUCUGAAUCUCCCUUUUUUUAGUUUAAACCCUUACUCCUUGUCCUAUUGCAACAGGCCCUACUAAAAAGUCUGUGCCCAUCUAUCUUAUAAGCCCCGUUUAAGUACUGAAAGACUACAAUAAGGUCUCUGGCCCUCUCCAGGCUGAAUAACCCCAGCUCUCUCAGCUUUUCCUCAUAGUCUUACACAGCUGGAUAGAGCUAGUGUAGUUUUUAGUAAGUUCAAACAAGUUUUUAGGGUCUCCUGGGGUGUUGGACACACAUCC
rnacentral:lncRNA from 1 species